rnacentral:rRNA from 1 species
UACGUAGGGUGCGAGCGUUAAUCGGAAUUACUGGGCGUAAAGCGUGCGCAGGCGGUUUUGUAAGCCAGAUGUGAAAUCCCCGGGCUUAACCUGGGAAUGGCAUUUGGGACUGCAAGGCUGGAGUGUGGCAGAGGAGACUGGAAUUCCUGGUGUAGCAGUGAAAUGCGUAGAUAUCAGGAGGAAUACCGAUGGCGAAGGCAGGUCUCUGGGCUGACACUGACGCUCAGGCGCGAAAGCUAGGGGAGCGAACAGG